rnacentral:lncRNA from 1 species
AAUAGAUACAGGUCAGUUCUCUCUACUGCCCCCUCUGGGGAUAAUAGAUACAGGUCUGGUCUCUCUACUGCCCCCUCUGGGGAUAAUAGAUACAGGUCUGGUCUCUCUACUGCCCCCUCUGGGGAUAAUAGAUACAGGUCUACUGCCCCCUCUGGGGAUAAUAGAUACAGGUCAGUUCUCUCUACUGCCCCCUCUGGGGAUAAUAGAUACAGGUCUACUGUGUUCAUAAUGUGGUUUAUCAUUCCCACUGUCGUUGUUAAUCAGCAUGUCUGUCUAUAUCCAUGAUAUACCAGUGUUGAAACCAGAACUACCCUGUCAUCAGGUUUUCAGAUUAAAGAUGGUU